rnacentral:rRNA from 1 species
UGGGGAAUAUUGCACAAUGGAGGGAACUCUGAUGCAGCAACGCCGCGUGCGGGAUGACGGCCUUCGGGUUGUAAACCGCUUUCAGCCAUGACGAAGCUUUUGUGACGGUAGUGGUAGAAGAAGCACCGGCUAACUACGUGCCAGGAGCCGCGGUGAUACGUAGGGUGCGAGCGUUGUCCGGAAUUAUUGGGCGUAAAGAGCUUGUAGGCGGUUUGUCGCGUCGAUAGUGUAAACACGCAGCUUAACUGUGUGCCUGCUGUCGAUACGGGCUGACUAGAGGAGGGUAGGGGAGAAUGGAAUUCCCGGUGGAGCGGUGGAAUGCGCAGAUAUCGGGAGGAACACCAGUGGCGAAGGCGGUUCUCUGGACCUUUCCUGACGCUGAGAAGCGAAAGCGUGGGUAGCAAACAGG